CCAGGGUUCGAGCUGGGAUCAUUUUAGUGCCGGAUAAAUUAUGGGCUCGUGGCCCCCGAAGCUAUAGGGAUUUAAACCACUAAAACAUUCUUGGCAAGCCUUAUUUUAACUAACUUUGGGUGGUUUUAGAUGCAGUGAAUGCAAGAA